rnacentral:tRNA from 6 species
GCCCGCUUAGCUCAGUUGGUAGAGCACAUCAUUCGUAAUGAUGGGGCCGAUGGUUCGAAUCCGUCAGCGGGCACCA